rnacentral:rRNA from 1 species
AUACGGGGGUGCAAGCGUUAAUCGGAAUUACUGGGCGUAAAGCGCGCGUAGGCGGUUAAAUAAGUUGGAUGUGAAAUCCCCGGGCUCAACCUGGGAACUGCAUUCAAAACUGUUUAACUAGAGUAUGGUAGAGGGAAGUGGAAUUCCAGGUGUAGCGGUGAAAUGCGUAGAUAUCUGGAGGAACAUCAGUGGCGAAGGCGACUUCCUGGAUCAAUACUGACGCUGAGGUGCGAAAGCGUGGGGAGCAAACAGGAGUAGAUACCCGAGUAGUCC